rnacentral:rRNA from 1 species
UACGUAGGGCGCGAGCGUUGUCCGGAUUUAUUGGGCGUAAAGAGCUCGUAGGCGGCUCUUUGUGUCAACCGUGAAAACCAGCAGCUCAACUGUUGGCCUGCGGUUGAUACGGAUGGGCUAGAGUUCGGGAGAGGAGAGUGGAAUUCCCAGUGUAGAGGUGAAAUUCGUAGAUAUUGGGAAGAACACCGGUGGCGAAGGCGGCUCUCUGGACCGAGACUGACGCUGAGGCGCGAAAGCGUGGGGAGCAAACAGG